rnacentral:rRNA from 1 species
UACGAAGGGGGCUAGCGUUGCUCGGAAUUACUGGGCGUAAAGCGCGCGUAGGCGGCUAGUUUAGUUGGGGGUGAAAGCCCGGGGCUCAACCUCGGAACUGCCUUCAAUACUGGCUAUCUUGAGUACGGGAGAGGUGUGUGGAACUCCGAGUGUAGAGGUGAAAUUCGUAGAUAUUCGGAAGAACACCAGUGGCGAAGGCGACACACUGGCCCGUUACUGACGCUGAGGCACGAAAGCGUGGGGAGCAAACAGG